rnacentral:rRNA from 1 species
AUUGAACGCUGGCGGCAUGCUUUACACAUGCAAGUCGAACGGUAACAGGCCUUCGGGUGCUGACGAGUGGCGAACGGGUGAGUAAUGCAUCGGAACGUACCCAGAGGUGGGGGAUAACGCAGCGAAAGCUGUGCUAAUACCGCAUGUGAUCUGAGGAUGAAAGCGGGGGACCGAGCAGCAAUGUUUGGCCUCGCGCCUUUGGAGCUGCCGAUGUCGGAUUAGCUAGUUGGUGGGGUAAAGGCCUACCAAGGCGACGAUCCGUAGCUGGUCUGAGAGGACGACCAGACACACUGGGACUGAGACACGGCCCAGACUCCUACGGGAGGCAGCAGUGGGGAAUUUUGGACAAUGGGCGCAAGCCUGAUCCAGCAAUGCCGCGUGCGGGAAGAAGGCCUUCGGGUUGUAAACCGCUUUUGGCAGGAACGAAACGGUGUCCGCUAAUACCGGGCGCUAAUGACGGUACCUGCAGAAUAAGCACCGGCUAACUACGUG